rnacentral:rRNA from 1 species
UGCGUAUUUUUGAUUUUCCAAUGGAUUUACAUCUUUCAUUAAUGAAAUUUUUUGAUGUAGUGAGUAAUAGGCUCUGGGUGUUCGCUGUUCAAGAAUUCUUGUUUAGGCAGUUCAUAACAUCCAUACAUAGUGUUUUGAUCCAAGAUUUCAAUUCUUCCAUGUUUCAGCAGUAGCAUAUUGUUCCAUGGAGCUAAGGUCCAAAAUUUGGAAGAAACAAGCGUUUCCACGACUCUACCACCCAGUCAAUUCUGUUCCACUCCCUAUUUAUUUCAUGACCAUAUAUCCUUCCGGCUAAGGAAUGGGAAACCCUUCUCCUGUUACAUGACUCCAAUUUUCAUUUCAUCCGGGAAAAGCCAUCUUUUUCUCAACAAUGUCUUUGUCAUUUGAUCCAAUAGCCUUCCGUUAGAUAGGAACAGAUUUGAUAAAUACUGAUAACUCUCGGAUAGAGUAUUAGAACGGAAAGAUCCAUUAGAUAAUGAACUAUUGGUUCUAAUCCAUCUCUGGUGAUGAAUCAACAAUUCGAAGUGCUUUUCUUGCGUAUUCUUGAUAAACCAGCGUUUAUAUAUAGAUGUAGGAGGAUCUGUUUGGGAAGUAAGAAGCCCUUUUGACAUCUCUUCAUCUGCAAAGAAUUCUCGAUGUGAAAACACAGAGACAGGGGGCUGAUCUUUGAAUAGGAAAAAGAGUGGAUCUGCAGGGUCCCAAAUGAAUUGGCUUAUUCGAAAAAAGCCUUGUUCUUUGGAAGAUCUAUCUCGUGUCUGGUACUGCAUGGUUCCACUCUGCAAGAACUCCGAAUCAUUCUCUUGAAGCUCAUUCUCUUCAUCAUAAAUGAUCCGCUUGCCCCGAAAUGACCUGGCCCAAUAGGGAAAUCCCAAUUCAUUGGGCCUUUCGAUACAAUAAAAUAGAAAGCCCCAAGGGCGCCAUAUUCUAGGAGCCCAAACUAUGUGAUUGAAUAAAUCCUCUUCUAUCUGUUGCGGGUCGAGGGCUCCUUCUACUUCCCCUUCUUCAAACUCCGAUUCGUAUUUUUCAUAGAGAAAUCUCUGAUCAACGAUAGAAUAAGACCCAUUUUGCAUCAUAUCUAAAGGAUUCCUUGGUUCGGGCCGAAGAAGCAAUGUCACUCGAUCAUUAUCAAACUGACUGCAAUCUUUUUCUGUCCGUGAGGAUCCCCCCAGAGCACCUUCUACUUCUAAUAGGCCAUGAACUAGAUCAGAAGCAUUCUCAACGAGUCCAUAAGAAGUGAUCCCAUUUUUUUCAUCGGGUCCGGGUAGAGACCAAAGGUCUUGGGCGACCGAUCCGGCAGAACAACUCAAAAGAUAAAGAAGUAUCGUUAAUUUCUUCAUGCUCGUUCCAAGUUCGAAGUACCAUUUGUACAAAUAAGAAUCCCUUUCGUUACAUGAUUUCUUCUUCAUAUAGAUAGAUAUAGGAUCUAUGGGGCAAUUACUUAGAAGUACAUUUUGUGCAACAGCCCUUCCUAUCUGAUAGAAAAGGAUCUCAUGAUCCUGAACCGAUCUUACCUGGGAUCGCAAAUCCCAAGUUUGUCUAUGAAGAGCGGAUCUAAUUGUAUUAGUGUCUAUAAUUGAUUUCUUCUGUGUAAUACUAAUCGCUAAGGCCUCAUUGGUAAGUGCUACAAGAUCUCGUGCAUUGGAACCCACGGUUAUGGACCCGAAUUCAUUAGUAUGGAACAUUUUCUUUUCCAAGUGAAAUCCCUUAGUAUAUGAAAGAUUGAAAAAGUGCUUUCGUUGUUGUGGAAUAAGAAGCCUUCGUAUCUUAAUGCAUGUAUUUAAUUUAUUCGGAACUAUUAGAGCGGGAUCCACUUUUUGGGGAAUAUGAGUCGAAGCAAUAACAAGAAUAUUUCUAGUGGAACAUCUUUCACAAUCCCUGGAUAGAUAGUUCACUAAUAGACCGAGGGAUAAGUAAUUCGACUCAUUCACAUCCAGAUCAUGAAUGUUUGGAAUCCAUAUUAUGCAAGGAGACAUUGCUUUUGCUAAUUCGAAUUGAAGGGUGAUAGAAAAUCGGUCUAUUUCCGGCAUCAUAUCCAUAUUUAGCGCAUUCAUCAGAGUUAGCAGCUCCGUAUCGAGGUCAAGAUCGAUAUCGUCACUAGCAUCAAUCUCGUCACUAUCAUCAAUAUUGUCACUAUCAUCAAUAUCGAUAUCAUCAAUAAGAAAACCUUUAGGCUUGUUAUCCAGGAACUUGUUCAGAAAUACCAAAGGAACAUAGGAGUUUGUCGCUAGGUAUUUGACCAAAUAGGAGCGUCCAGUUCCUAUAGAACCUAUCACUAAAAUACCCCUAGAGGGGGAUAGGGCUAAGCGGAGCGAAAAGGGUUUUUCAUGAGACGGGAAAUGAAAACUAUUAGCCCCACACGGGGUUUGUGAAUAAGUGAUUGUCUGAUAAUGAGCAAGGAAUAUCCGUCUUUCUGCUAAACAGGAUGUAUUGAACUCAUAAUUCAUUAGACACUUUUUAUGAAUGUCAACUAAAUAUCGUAAGUAAAUUGCUCCCGGGUGUUCAAUCAUUUGAUAACCAGAGUCGUUCUUUGAUAAAUGAUCACUAGAUAAAUAAUCACUAUGAGUCAGACUCAAUAGAAUUUGAUCAAUCCCUUUUUCUGUCGUUAAGGUGGAGAACUGAACCAAAAAUUCUCUUUCUUCAUCAUCAAUCGAAUCACUGUUCGCAACCCAGGAUUCCAUUUUAUCAUCAAUCCAAUCACUGUUCACGUUUUUUCUUUUUCUUAUCAAUGAAUAGAUCUCUUUACUUGUAUGACUUAGAUGUCUCGUAUUUCUUGAAAAAGUGAUUCGAUUGGUGGGAUUUGGUAUGAUACUUAUGAGAUCGAUGAGAUUGAUAUUCAAAUAUUUCUUCUUAGAACGGAUUGAUUUGACCCCAUAAGUGGGAUCACCGCCCAAUAGCAUGUUGCCGCCAGAAACAGAACCCCGGAUUUCUUCUAGAGAAUCUCCUAAUUGUUCCAGAGCAACUAGAAAGAGAUUCUUUAACCAGAAAGAAUUCAGUUCAGAUGUAGGAUACCUAUCCAGAAGUUUUCGCAACUCAAUCAUGUAUGGUGGAAUCAUCAAAGAUUUGACCUUUUCGAACUCUGUCUGUAACUCACUAGAGGCUCGGGAAACAAAGAGAAGAUGUGUAUGAACGAGAUAUCCAACAACAAGAAGAAGGAAAAGGAUUGAAUAGAGGAACUCAUGAACAUUUGGCAAUCUCAGAUGUGUCGAUAUCAAUGGUGACUCAUUAUUUCGAUGAAUCAUUUCUUCGAACAUAAGAAAAUUAUGUAAACACUUUCUCGAAAUUUCGCUUAUCAGAUUCCAUUGUGGAAGACACCCUUUUUUCUGAAGAAUUCGCCAUGAUAUAUCUGAUCCAUACAUAAUAUCAUGAAAAAUGGAUACAAAUUUUUGACUGUUACUUAGUAUCGACAAUAGGUCUGAAAAAGUAUCUAAAAAUACAAAAUUUAGAUAUUUGUACCCUGCCGAAGUAAGGAACCAUGGCAUAUAUGUUUGGAAUAGAUUCCAUUUUGAGAGAGUUGAAAAAGCACUAUCUCGUUGAAAGGUUCUAUACAUCUGCCCUUUCUCAACGCAUUUCUUUAGACAAAGACUCCGUUUUUUCCUAUUUUCGGAUGGUAAAUCUUUCUCAGAACAUGGAGUGUGAAUCAAACUCAUGUUUGAAUUGAAAUUGAGAUACUGAUGCAAGUUCUUCCCUUCUGAAUCAGAUAGAUUCAGAUCUGAAAGAGGUUGACAAUAAGUUCUUUCAAAAUGGACUAUUUCUCCCUCUGUUAGAGGUGUUCCAGAAAUGUCUGCGAUCGAAUAAAAAGCUCUACGAACGAAUGGAUCGGAUCGAAUUGGAAAAUGGAAAUAUUUGUACAAGUUAUACGUUUCGUCACCACUUUGUGGAAAAUCCUUAGGUAUGAAUAUGUUAGAUACCUGUGACUCGAUUGGUGAAAUAGUAUCUCUCUCCAAAAAAGCAUGUUUUUUUUUACCGCCGCACAAAUCAAAUAUUUUGUUGCGAAUGAACAAGAUAUUGAGGAAUUGUCCAUACGUAAAAUCAUAAUUAUUGAUACGGGCCUUUUCCACAUAAAAGGGGAAUCUUUUGUUACAAUAGAAGCAGAAGUGAUGUGGAUUAUUCAAGAAUCGAAGUCGAUUUGCUUUAUAAAAAGAAGAUAUCAAUGAACUUCCAUGAAAUGGUUUCACGGGAUUCAGCCAAUUGUCUUGAUCGUGGGAUAUCAUUGAAAAAUAGGAAUCCGUGUUAUCAAAAGAUUUCCUGCGAUUAUUUCUAGUAUGGAAUGAGUCAAUCAUCCACUUUGGUAUCUUAUUGAACAAAAAUGGUGAUAUUGUUCCUCCAUUGAUCAAGAAUUUCGAUUUUUGAGAAGUAUCAUGAUCAUCCAAUAAGAAGGGUUUCCAUUUUUUCAAAUGAACGAUUUGAAGACCUAUUGAUUCUAACAACUGAUUGCAGAGUUGAUAAUUCGGACCUUUCAAUUCAUAGAUGUGGAUCUCGGACCUAUGAACGGGGAUAUUCCCGAAACUCACAAAGAAAAAAGGAAGUGAGUUAGACAAAAAGAGAAGCAACUUGGACAAAAAAAGAAGCUUGGACAAAAAAAGAAGUGACUUAGACAAAUCUUUUUUGUCGAUAACUUCAGACCAAUCAAUCGAAUAUUGAUUACGUAGUAAUCGAUCGAACACUACUUGAAAAUGGCUCUUCUGCUCAGAAACGAAAUGUUCCUGGAAAUUUUUGCUCCCAUUGGACCCUUUGUAUCUAUCUGCAUUAGGAUCCCGAUUCAUGGAUCUCUCGGUUCGAGAAAUCCAAAUAAGAGGGUCGAACCAUUUCUUCUGACUCUUUUUCAAAUUCGAUAAAUGUUGGUUGAUCGUAUAUUUCAUUCGAGUUCUAUGAUUCAGAGUAUCAUUUCCUAUUUGAUCCCUUUGAAUUCCAUAUUCGAAGUUGCGAUCGGAUCUAUUCAUUAAAAAGAAUGGAUUCAAUACAUUUCUUAUGUACCCAUAGGUGCUAUAUUGGAUUUGAAU